rnacentral:lncRNA from 1 species
GAAGAUAGAUACCACUUCCUUCUAUAAAAAUAGAUAAUAAUCAAGAGUUUGAGAUUGAAAAAGUCUUAGAUUCAAGGCAUUGCCAAAAUAGAUUGAAAUAUCUUCUGCAUUAGUAUAGAUAUAAUAUUGUCAGUUUGGAUUAUUUUGAUUUUAGCAAUGCAAUUCAAUCUCUCUAUAUACAAUAUGGACAUUGUUUUUACAUUUCUAAAUAGCAUCUUAAAAGGAGAGAACUUUAUGCAACCACCAAGAGGCUUGCUAGUUGAAAAAAGUAAAGUCUUAUGGAAAACUCUCUACAAAUUCAAGUAAUUUGGUAAUAGAUGGAUCCAAGGACUUCAUGAUUAG